UGGUGUAUAGCCAAAAAGGUAAGGCAUUGGCUUUUGAUGCUAAUAUAUACAGGUUCGAGUCCUGUUACACCAG
rnacentral:tRNA from 1 species